GGUGGAGGAAGUUCAUCAGCAGAGUCAGGCACUGAAUGUUCAUCACUCCUUGGCUCCUGGGAAGGUCUGAGACUGGGGUCUCCCGACCUAACCAGGCUUUCCCGAGUGGGGAAGUGGAUUCCCAGGGAUCACAGGCCUUUUUGUAUAGUGAUGUAGCCCUGAUUGCCUAGCAAUUGCAAUGAUCUCACAUGAGUUUACACCCACCAUGCUUACGCAGGUACCACAGAUCCCAGAAGAGGGUGCCAUAUCUCCUGCAACUGGAAUUACAGAGGGUCCUGAGCCACCUGAUGUGGGAAACGAACCUGGAUUGCCUGUUGAAACAGUCAGCUCUUUUCACACC
ensembl:ribozyme RNaseP_nuc Nuclear RNase P